rnacentral:rRNA from 1 species
UACGUAGGGUGCAAGCGUUAUCCGGAAUUAUUGGGCGUAAAGAGCUCGUAGGCGGUUUGUCGCGUCUGCUGUGAAAACCCGAGGCUCAACCUCGGGCCUGCAGUGGGUACGGGCAGACUAGAGUGCGGUAGGGGAGAUUGGAAUUCCUGGUGUAGCGGUGGAAUGCGCAGAUAUCAGGAGGAACACCGAUGGCGAAGGCGGCGACCUGGGUAGAUACUGACGCUGAGGCGCGAAAGCGUGGGGAGCAAACAGG